rnacentral:sRNA from 1 species
GCUGGGCAUGGUGGUGCAUGCCUGUAAUCCCAGUGGCUCGGGAGGCUGAGGCAGGAGGAUCAUGAGUUCAAAGCCAGCCUUAGCAAUGAUGAAGCGCUUCGCCAUUCGGUGAGACCCUGUCUCUA